CGAUAAUAUUACACUAGGAGGUGGUAGGGCGAGCCCGAGCUGACUUAGAACGCGCUGAUUUUGACUCUGCUGCUGAAUAGUUACCGACGCCAAACAAACCAACAUGAGAAUUGACAGUGUGGUACGCAUUUUCAAUUCACUGGAAUAUGUUGCGCUAGGAAUAACUAGUUCACUUUAAAUUACUUGGUAUUAAACAAUGGAGCCUGUGUUGAUCACUUCAACCAAGAGCGGAGAAUGAAGAGCAAGUGAUGGCUUAUGUCAACCUUUCGCUGGGUUUUAUAGGGAAACGAGCCUUUCAGUUUUACUGCGAUUUACAUAGGAAGUCCCCGAAUUAUUAAUAUCUUUUUAUGUAACUUGUUUCCACUUUCUGGUUUUAAUACAGGGGGGGGGGGGGGCGGCAGAGGCCCAAAUGAAAAUAAAGUCCUUUGCCGUGUUCCACUUGACUGUAUAAGAUGACUCGCUUACUUUCCGCAGACACUAUCAAAGAGAAACGGGGACAUGGAAGAGCAAUUCACUUUCAUCGAUCGCUGUAAAAUUCGUUUUUUCCUAUAACAAUGUCAAAACUGACUCACUUGCAUGCACGUGCAUGUAUAAAACGUUCCAAUUGUAAUAGUGUGUCACCUGAAGGCCUGGAGAAAAAGAAACAGUCGCAUAUAAAAUCUACACAUCUUUCACAUGAAAUAAAGUGGAAUAACAAACCUUCACCUUCUUGAGAAAAUUCAGAGUUUGGGUUUGUCUUUAGUUUUCAAUGUAAACCGAACGACUUGAAGUUGUAUAAAUAUCCGCUUGUAUUAUUAAGAUUGUUUAGAAUAGAAUGUGAAAGUGAUGAUAUGAAAUGUA